rnacentral:rRNA from 1 species
GCCGCGUGUGUGAAGAAGGCCUUCGGGUUGUAAAGCACUUUUGUCAGGAACGAAACGUGUUGGGCUAAUAUCCCGACAUAAUGACGGUACCUGAAGAAUAAGCACCGGCUAACUACGUGCCAGCAGCCGCGGUAAUACGUAGGGUGCAAGCGUUAAUCGGAAUUACUGGGCGUAAAGCGUGCGCAGGCGGUUGUGCAAGACAGAUGUGAAAUCCCCGGGCUUAACCUGGGAAUUGCAUUUGUGACUGCACGGCUAGAGUGUGUCAGAGGGGGGUAGAAUUCCACGUGUAGCAGUGAAAUGCGUAGAUAUGUGGAGGAAUACCGAUGGCGAAGGCAGCCCCCUGGGAUAACACUGACGCUCAUGCACGAAAGCGUGGGGAGCAAACAGGAUUAGAUACCCUGGUAGUCCACGCCCUAAACGAUGUCUACUAGUUGUCGGGUCUUAAUUGACUUGGUAACGCAGCUAACGCGUGAAGUAGACCGCCUGGGGAGUACGGUCGCAAGAUUAAAACUCAAAGGAAUUGACGGGGACCCGCACAAGCGGUGGAUGAUGUGGAUUAAUUCGAUGCAACGCGAAAAACCUUACCUACCCUUGACAUGCCAGGAACUUGCCAGAGAUGGCUCGGUGCCCGAAAGGGAACCUGGACACAGGUGCUGCAUGGCUGUCGUCAGCUCGUGUCGCGAGAUGUUGGGUUAAGUCCCGCAACGAGCGCAACCCUUGUCAUUAGUU